UAUAUAUGAAAAUGUAGGUCGUAACAGAAUUCCGGUGAGAUGUGUAUCCCUACGGAUGACAUUAUGGACACGCCAUGACGUGUUAGAACGUUUGUUGUUGUUUUCUUGACAAUCUUUUCUUUCUUGUUCAUGGAAGACAUAAGUCAAGUUUGUUCAGUAUGGGUUGGAUCAGAAACAGGGAUAUUGAAAGGUGUGAGCCUAUCCAAAAAACAUGCAUUCAACUUCUGUGAGAUGAACUGCCUCAGUCGGGACCAGGAAGUGUGUGUCCUGGGCUGGGGAGAGCCACAGGAGACUGAGGUGGGGACUGUGAAUGGCACAGUGAAGAGGUUCAGCACAGAGAAGGGCAUCAUUACUGAGACCAGACGGUGUGGGGAGAGCAACCAGGGCAGGUUCACAGGACUCGCCGUCACAGACCGUGCUCGGAUCACGUGUGUGGAGACAGGACUGCAGAGGGUCUGGAAGGAGGGCAAUACAGACACAGUGAAUGAACAACUCCUGCACCGUUGAAAUAAAUGUUGGGAAGAAUGUUUGUCGGAUGUGACAGAAUCCCUCGCAGCGCUACCAAGUGCCUACAGGAGGGAAAGAGAACAGCCUUCACCUCCAAGAAUGUGCGUAAUGAUUGGCUGGACCUGCGGGUGCCAGAGUGGGUUAGAGACAUGGCCUUCAUUGCAGACAAGAUAGACACCUGCACAGGUCAACACCAGGUCUGUCUGUCUUGUCUUUCCCUGUACAAGCCCUGUUCUUAGACUGGGUCUGCUGGUCUCCUCAGCCUUGGAGUCUUUCCCUGUACUCAAACGAUACAUUCGGCAGGAGUUUGACGCGUUUUGUUAGAUACGCAACCAGGCCAGCGCAGUACAUUUUGGCACACUGGGUUUGGCUCAGCUCAGUCCAUUUUUGGGGGGUGAAACUGUCCUGUAAAGGGUUCAUUCAUAUUAUACAACGGGUGGUUCUAAUCCUGAAUGUUGAUUGGUUAAAACCGCAUUCCAGCCGGUGUCUAUUCCACAAGUUACCACCGGCUAAAGCUAUGAUGCCUAUUUACUCUGUUCCAUCUGACUGCGCAGUCCACUGUCACAUCAGCCGAGCCAAGCAACUUCUAAACUUGAUCUCCACUAUAAAAAGCAUCUCCUUUUUGAAGUCACUGUGUUAGAAGGGUUGUUGGCUAGCUCCUCUGAACGACAGUGUCCUGAGGAUAGAGCACAUUUUCUAUGCCAGGUGAAAUUGCGCCUCAUUAGCUCAUUGUUAUGGAUGUAUCAAAAUAAAUGUCACUAGAAAACAGCUUAAACAAAUGUAAAUGCAGCUACUGUUGUUAUUCUGGCUUCACUGUUUGACGUGACUGUAAGUUAGCUGUAGUUGGCUAGCUAGCAAGCAAGGCAUAAGAACGUUGCCAGCCAGUAUGGAAAUGGAACAUUUAGAAUGAACGACUGGGUCUCGUCCAUAGAUACAGAACAAAAUGACUGAACGACUGGUUCGACUCUCUAGCAACCGACAGAACGAACGACCAGCCGGCUUGGGUAGCAACCCGGGACUCUGUCUUGUGGAAGGAUAAAAUAGUAUGAAUAAAUUCAUCAAAAUAAUGUUUUUAAUGAAAAUAUGUCAAUCAUAAUUUGAGUAUGUUGGUAACCCAUUGUAUAAAAGUGAUAAUGCCCUCGACUUCAUCUUGAGCUUAACAACACCCGUGCCAAUAUAUCCUCCAAACACCGGCUCCUCGGGCAUUAUCACUUAAUUGGUCAAGUUCAAGUACCCUGAUGUAUGGUUUGUAUCAUUGCUACAUAAGCAAACCAUUAAACAUCUUAACUUGACUCACGUCUCUUUGCCUCAUUCAUCUAUCUAACAACGUAACAAAAGCAACCUAUUUUUUUUACUGAUUUAAUAGUUUUUUUUCCCGCUGUUAGGUGUGAAUGUAUGGUCCAGCCUCUCCCCAGAGGUGUCCUGUUCUAGAGGCAGUUUGGGGAGUACCCCCCCACAGCCCUCUCCCUGCCUGCCAACCAAGACAGUGUUACAGUGGGCAACACACAUGGCCAACUCGCCAUCUUAGGCCUAGUGUGUGGGUGUUUAAAGGGGCUGGCAGGAGAGGUGCGGGGGCUUCAGUCCCACCCUUCUCUCCCUCUGGUGGCUUCUUGUGGUUUGGAUCACUUUCUGAGUGUACACAGCCUGGAGAACCGCUCUCUACAGAACAAGGUGUAUCUGAAGUCACGACUCAACUGUGUGCUUCUGUCCAGCAGAGAUCUCAAGUACAGGAGUGAACGGAGAUGUGGAGGAAGUAAAAGAAGACAGAGGAGAACUGGAUGAGGUGUGGAACACUAUGGGGAUGAUAAAAGAGAUGGUGAAGGAAAGAGCAACAGAAGAAGAGGAAGCUGUUGUUGAAGAAGCAGAGAAGACGACUAAGAAGAGGCAUCAAACACUUAUUUAUUUCUGAAACAUAUUAUACCCUUAUAUUAAACUAAAUAUGGCUGAUACCGCAGUAGACACAACCACCGAGAUUUCAGAAAGGAGCUCAAAGAGAAGAAAGAGGAGGUGGAGGAGAAGGAGAAUGGCAGUCGGGACGCACCAGCCAACAGCAAUGGAACACACACACACAUGGUGCAGAGAAGACCAAUUGUUUAGAUGAUUCUGAAGAAACCCCUGAGGGUGAGAAGGAAGAGGAGGAUGGAGAGGGACUGGAAGCUAAGGAUGCAGAAGAAGCUGUGAUGAGGUUGACCACCCUGUGAAGCACCCAGCUGAUGAGGUUGACCACCCUGUGAAGCACCCAGCUAAUGAGGUUGACCACCCUGUGAAGCACCCAGCUGAUGAGGUUGACCAGCCUGUGAAGCGCCCAGCUGAUGAGGUUGACCAGCCUGUGAAGCGCCCAGCUGAUGAGGAGGUUGACCAGCCUGUGAAGCGCCCAGCUGAUGAGGAGGUUGACCAGCGUGUGAAGCGCCCAGCUGAUGAGGAGGUUGACCAGCCUGUGAAGCGCCCAGCUGAUGAGGAGGUUGACCAGCGUGUGAAGCGCCCAGCUGAUGUGGAGGUUGACCAGCGUGUGAAGCGCCCAGCUGAUGAGGAGGUUGACCAGCCUGUGAAGCGCCCAGCUGAUGAGGGGGUUGACCAGCCUGUGAAGCACCCAGCUGAUGAGGGGGUUGACCACCCUGUGAAGCACCCAGCUGAUGAGGCGGUUGACCACCCUGUGAAGGACCCAGCUGAUGAGGGGGUUGACCACCCUGUGAAGGACCCAGCUGAUGAGGGGGUUGACCACCCUGUGAAGGACCCAGCUGAUGAGGGGGUUGACCACCCUGUGAAGAACCCAGCUGAUGAGGAAGAACAAGUGGAAACAAAAAAAACAGAAAACGGUGAAUCAAAGGAAGCUGAAGUGAAGGCAUAAUGUGCGGAGUAUGUACUCCUCCAACGCUGUCUACAUGACGCGUUUAACUUCACCUUGAAGAGCUUGUGCUUUAUGUAUGCUUUAAAUAAUGGCACCGGAGGGGAUGGCUGCCAUUUUACGGGCUCCUAACCAACUGUGCUGUUUUGUUGUUUGUAACUUAUUUUGUACAUAAUGUUGCUGCUACCGUCUCUUAUGACCGAAAAGAGCUUCUAGACAUCAGAACAGUGAUUACUCACCUCGAACUGGACAAAGAUUUUUUUCUUUAACGAAUCCGACGCAAAGGAUAUACUGCAUUCUCGAGACCAGGCCCAAACCCCGUCAUUUGCGUGAAGAAAAGAUGGAGAAAAAAGGGGUGGAGGUCGGACAUCCUUCUGAGAAUUCGUAGGUGAGUGAGUAAACUUCCACUACCAUCCAUACUAUUGGCCAACGUGCAGUCACUGGAAAAUAAAAUGGAUGAUCUACGAUUAAGAAUAUCCUACCAACGUGACAUUAAAAACUGUACUAUCUUAUGUUUCACCAAGUCGUGGCUGAACGAUGACACGGAUACUAUAGAGCUGGCUGGGUAUUCCAUGCGUCGGCAGGACAGAGAAGCUACAUCUGUUAACUGCUGACCAGCUGAUUCAGAGGCAGACGGCUCUACCCUUCUCCACGUGUUCAGGGUGACUUCUCAGACUCAAUGAAGACCAAAGAUAAGUUUUAAACAGGGCUAAUGAACUAUUGUUAACAUAAAAAAAAAAAAACGAAAUUAAUAAUCCUUUUUGUUUACUGCUGCUGGUAGUUAAUCCUUUGCCAGGCUGAUCUGUUAACACAAUAAAAUGUUUGCUCUACUCCUCCAGGCUAUCUCUAUCGCAAGACACAACCACCACAUCUUAUCUAUGGGAUGCAGGCUCAGUCAGGCCAGAGACAUCUCCCUCUCCUGCACCACUAAUCACAAUGGAAUGUGGCUGUUGGUUUUAUAGCCAUCACUUAAUCAGAUGCCAGGCCAAGCUUUAAAGACUCCUCUCAGUUCACUCAGAAAGGGAGAGAGAGUUCGAAGAACCCUACUCUAUUGCAAAAAAACAACCAUUCGGGUGCAUAAACAGUAUUAUAACAUCAUUUUGGCAUUUUGCUACCAUACACAACAGAUGGCCUCCAUGAUAAAAGACACUUGACCCCAUUUGGGGGGCUGGCUUCUGCAAUGUUAAUUACCCCAUCUUAAAUCUUAAGGCUUUGGUCAUGUUCCGUAUGCAUUUCACACAAGUUUGUUCCAUUUGUACCCAAGAUACUGUUAGUUUUUUUGUUUUUAUUUUAGGUUAUUAAGUUAUGUCUGCGUGACUCAGGAUUGUUAUUUGGUUGCUUCAACCACUGUUUUGUAUAUUCUGGUUCUUGAUGAUUAAAUAAAUCAGUCUUGUCUUAAAAACAAAAAUGUUUCCAAAUGACCAGUAGUGGAGAGCUUAAGGAAGACUGUUCUUUUUAUGAGGAACGCAGAAGGUUUAAGAGGUCUGCCAAAGCCCGUGUUGUGGUUGUGCUGAUUGUUUUCCCGUUGAGUCGGUACUGGAAAUGCAUUAGCCAAAGUUUCCCAUUAAACUAUAACCACUCUGGUGCUGUUUGCAUGACUUAAUGUAGCCAACAUUAAACAUGUACAGAUUGAAAUUUUGGCAACAACUCACACAAAAAAAGAUUGUAUUAAAUGUCCAAUAUCCCAGGGCUAUAACAAUUUCUCAUAUGAACGCUGAACGUGUGUGUGUGUGUGUGUGUGUGUGUGUGAGAGGAAGAAUGCAACGUCCCUAAUAAACAGACAGGUGGCAUCUGGCACCAUUGGUUGGCUUACUUGUGUUUUUGUGUCCUCUGCUGUAAUGGACUAGAGGGUGUACUGAUAAUGAAAAUCACUCAACAUGAUGGGUGUCUUUCAAGUUGUGUACUUAGCAUGGACUUGUUUUCUGAUUUGUGUUUGUCAGUUUGAGUAAAAAAUGUCACUAUGUUCAUUAUUGUGAAUUCAGUAACAGUGGUGUGUUUUGAGGAAAUUGAUGUUUGUAAGCCUAGGGCGGGGCUGGCCCUGGGCAUAAGUGACCGGUUUAGGGCUGCUAGGGGGCACCCGCACCCAAAAAAACAGAAAGGCUGCGGAUCCGACUUAGCUGGACCGUUAUUCCUAAUUUUUUGCGCAUGUGUGGGAUUCUCUACUUACGCAAUCUGUGCUCUACUCAUGGAGAACAGGCUACUCUGGUGAAUGCUGCUCGUCUAAUAAAGUUGGAUCAAAGCUGAA